ACAUUUUGAGUUUUACCUGACAACAUCACAAACGUAGUCCUGUCCUGUACCUAGUUUAUAAAAGAUCGUGUUUUCCUGUACGGGUUCCGGUUCCCUGUUCAUCAUGCUAGCUGGAUGGCAUGGCGUGGCAUCUGUACAUAAAAACUCUGAAUGAUGUACAGCAAUGAAGAUGAGGACGAGCUAAAAAAUGAGUUAAUUUGGAUCAACCUUAUAUUUUAUAGGUUGAAGUGAAAACUGGACAUUAAAUUCAUUGAAUGAGAUGAAAGACAACCAUCUGACAACUGAUUGAAACCGUUUAAGGUGGUUUGGAGGCCAAAGCUUACCAGAUCAACUAUCAUUUUAACUGUAGCAAAAAUACUAUUUAGGUAAGUAAAAUUUUGAUUAGUUUACAUGUUGUGAUGUAUAAAGUAGUUUGCAUGAAGAGCUAUACUAAUGUAGUGUGGAAGGUCUUGGUGAAUCACAACAUUUUGAAGCAUCAGUUUUGACUUUUUUUUUUCUUGAGUAUUGUGACUUUAACAAAAAUAAAUUCAGUUAAAUAUA